GCUGGGCAUGGUGGCACGUGCCUGUAGUCCCAACUACUCAGGAGGCUGAGGUGGGAGGAUUGCUUGAGCCCAGGAUUUCUGGGCUGUAGUGUGCUGUGCCGAUUGAGUGUCCAUACUAAGUUUGGCAUCAGUAUGGUAACCUCCUGGGAUCAGGGGACCACCAGGUUGACUAAGGGUGAACCGGCCCAGGUUGGAAAUGGAGCAGGUCAAAACUCCCAUUCUGAUCAGUAGUGGGAUCACACCUGUGAAUAGCCACUGCACCCCAGCCUGGGCAACAUAGCGAGAAUCCGUCUCU
rnacentral:SRP_RNA from 1 species